GCAGUCGGGGCUGAGUGGUUAAGGCGAUGAACUUGGAAUCCAUUGAAGUUUCUCGCACAGGUUCGAAUCCUGUCGGUUGCG